AGGUUACGUCCGGCCCCGGGUAGCAUCUCCAGCACUUGCGACAGCAGGAGAGGAAGCCGGUGAAAAUCCGGCGCGGUCGCGCCACUGUGAGCUCGCCGAAACCGGUGGGCGAGCCAGACCCUCACCUGCCGUCCUCCGACCUA
rnacentral:ncRNA from 2 species